UACGUAGGGGGCAAGCGUUGUCCGGAUUUAUUGGGCGUAAAGAGCGUGUAGGCGGCCAGGCAGGUCCGCUGUGAAAACUCGAGGCUCAACCUCGAGAGGUCGGUGGAAACCGUCUGGCUAGAGUCCGGAAGAGGAGAGUGGAAUUCCCGGUGUAGCGGUGAAAUGCGCAGAUAUCGGGAGGAACACCUGUGGCGAAAGCGGCGCACUGGACCACAACUGACGCUGAGGCGCGAAAGCUCGGGGAGCGAACGGG
rnacentral:rRNA from 1 species